rnacentral:rRNA from 1 species
GACGAACGCUGGCGGCGUGCUUAACACAUGCAAGUCGAACGAAGAGCGAUGGAAGCUUGCUUCUAUCAAUCUUAGCGGCGAACGGGUGAGUAACGCGUAAUCAACCUGCCCUUCAGAGGGGGACAACAGUUGGAAACGACUGCUAAUACCGCAUACGAUCUAACCUCGGCAUCGAGGAAAGAUGAAAGGUGGCCUCUAUGUAUAAGCUAUCACUGAAGGAGGGGAUUGCGUCUGAUUAGCUAGUUGGAGGGGUAACGGCCCACCAAGGCGAUGAUCAGUAGCCGGUCUGAGAGGAUGAACGGCCACAUUGGGACUGAGACACGGCCCAGACUCCUACGGGAGGCAGCAGUGGGGAAUCUUCCGCAAUGGACGAAAGUCUGACGGAGCAACGCCGCGUGAGUGAUGACGGCCUUCGGGUUGUAAAGCUCUGUUAAUCGGGACGAAAGGCCUUCUUGCGAAUAGUGAGAAGGAUUGACGGUACCGGAAUAGAAAGCCACGGCUAACUACGUG